AUUGAACGCUGGCGGAAUGCUUUACACAUGCAAGUCGAACGGCAGCACGGACUUCGGUCUGGUGGCGAGUGGCGAACGGGUGAGUAAUAUAUCGGAACGUAUCCAAUAAUGGGGGAUAACUAAUCGAAAGGUUGGCUAAUACCGCAUACGUCCUACGGGAGAAAGCUAGGGACCUUCGGGCCUGGCGUUAACGGAGCGGCCGAUAUCGGAUUAGCUAGUUGGUGAGGUAAAGGCUCACCAAGGCGACGAUCCGUAGCUGGUCUGAGAGGACGACCUGCCACACUGGAACGGAGACCCGGUCCAGACUCCUACGGGAGGCAGCAGUGGGGAAUUUUGGACAAUGGGCGAAAGCCUGAUCCAGCCAUUCCGCGUGAGUGAAGAAGGCCUUCGGGUUGUAAAGCUCUUUCGCAAGAGAAGAAAACUUACCCUCUAACAUAGGGUGAGGUUGACGGUAUCUUGAUAAGAAGCACCGGCUAACUACGUGCCAGCAGCCGCCGUAA
rnacentral:rRNA from 1 species